rnacentral:rRNA from 1 species
UACGUAGGGUGCAAGCGUUAAUCGGAAUUACUGGGCGUAAAGCGUGCGCAGGCGGUGAUGUAAGACAGAUGUGAAAUCCCCGGGCCCAACCUGGGAACUGCAUUUGUGACUGCAUCGCUGGAGUGCGGCAGAGGGGGAUGGAAUUCCGCGUGUAGCAGUGAAAUGCGUAGAUAUGCGGAGGAACACCGAUGGCGAAGGCAAUCCCCUGGGCCUGCACUGACGCUCAUGCACGAAAGCGUGGGGAGCAAACAGG